rnacentral:rRNA from 1 species
AAUCAACGCUGGCGGCGUGCCUCAGACAUGCAAGUCGAACGAUUAAAGCUCUCUUCGGAGAGUGCAUAGAGUGGCGCACGGGUGAGUAACACGUAAGUAAUCUACCUUCGAGUGGGGAAUAACGUCCGGAAACGGACGCUAAUACCGCAUAAUGCAGCGGCAUCGCAAGAUGACAGUUGUUAAAGGAGCAAUUCGCUUGAAGAGGAGCUUGCGGCAGAUUAGCUAGUUGGUAAGGUAAUGGCUUACCAAGGCUACGAUCUGUAACCGGUCUAAGAGGACGGUCGGUCACACUGACACUGAAUAACGGGUCAGACUCCUACGGGA